AGCGAGGGGCGGGCACCCUGCAGCGCGCUGCGUCUCCUGACGCGUGUGUCACGGGAGGGCGCGGGAGGGGAGGGGGAGGGCGCCGGCCUGAGGGGGCGGGGUUACCAGGAGAGGGCGGAAAGCAGCUGCCAUUUUAAGUAUGGGCAAGCCGCUCGCUUUCCUCUCGGGUAGAGAGUUUGGGCAGUGGGUUCUUUGCUUUGUUUUAUUUUAUUUUUUUUUUUUUUUCAACGUGACUUUAGCUCUUCUGUGGGUGUUUGCUCUUCGUGCUGGAGCCACCCCGACUCUUUAAUACUCUCACUUGAAGGGUCGGGGUGUCGCCGUUAUUGUUUUCCUACGGAGGGCACUGGGGCUUCUCCUGCCCGCCUUCAAGAUGGCGGCGGGAGGGCGGCUGCGCGCAGGGCCGCGGGAGGAAGGUCUGUUUCCUACGGUGCCUGGGGCGGUACCGGGGGAGCGGCGGCAGCGCCCGCGGUUAAAGGCCGCCUGGCGGGGACGUAUCUCUCCGGUGUUUGUGGCCUUUUCCUGUGCCUGAUGUUUCUGGAGGCCCAGGAUGUGGUGGGGCAAGGGUGUCGGUAGCGUUCCCUGUGAAGGAUUUGCUCCCGGGCCCGUCUGCGCAGCAGCCUCCCCAGCAAUAAAACCGGAGGACAGCGAGGUGUUGCACACCUGAGACACAGUGUGAGGUCUUUGGCUGAAGCGAGGGUGUGACACUGCCACUCUUGAGGAAAGAUAGACGGCUGUCACCAUGUGUUUCAGCGCCACAGAUCCAGUGUUGCACAACCAAGCAACUUUCUCGCUCUAAUUCAUGCUGUAGAGCAUCCUACCCACUAAAAUGAAUGGAAACUCUAAUGAAACUAAGAUGUAAGGAUGGCAAAAUCUGCCUUGCAGUAAAAAUGGAAAUACCAACUGCGCUAUUAAAAAAAAAAAGUUGGUGAUAUAAAUGAGAGAACAACUGUGAGUCCUACCAUUAUGUCAAGAGCUCUGGCUCUUAACCAUGUUGUGACGUGCUAACCUUGAGAGUGAGGAAACCAAAAAAAGCCAGAUGUCCUCAGAUUUUGGACUACUGAGAAGCCCAGCUCUUGGAAGUCCUGAAGAACCUUAAUGUAAGCAUCUCCUUUGGAACCUGGAGCCAGCUUAUUGUGAGGUAAUUCAUACGACAACAGAGACUAAUCACGAGGGCCCUGUCAUUUAAAUGCUCCAAUUAAUUUUUUUUUUUCCCUGCAAUAGCUUCUGCUCUGCUCCCACAUCCCACAAUGCAUUCCAGAGCUGCUAUGUUAAUUGGAAGUUUAUUUCUGUGCAUGAAGUGGAUUUUAAUUGGCACCUAAGGGGCACAUUCUGGUGUCCUGACUCAGGUGGCAUGGAGGCGUACCUCAGCAUCGCUCCAUGGCAGCCUGUGGGACUGCUCACGAGGAAAGGUGCUUCCUGGACCAGGCAAAGGGUGACUGGGAAGCUCUGAGCCACCCAGGUGGGACAAGAGGCUCCACUGACUCUCCAGCAUGCAAUGCCAUGGCCCGGGGCCCUGUAAAACAAUAGUUAUACUAACUCUUCCAGUUAUUUUGCUUGACUAAUGAGUAAUAUGAGUGGCUCCAGAUUUUAAGUGUGUGAGCAACGUAGGCACACUGUAAAAACUGGGAUUGCAGGCAGUCUUGUAAUAAAUUAAUGACUUUGACUAUUAUGUGAGUCAUCUGUAAAAUGGGCCCUGAGUUAUGAAGACACACACCAACGGUGGGGGGCAUUAUGAGAAAUUAAAAUUAAUGUGACAUAAUACUACUUCAAUUGCAAUAAAAGUACUGCAGCUGGAAGAGAUGGGAAAAGUGGGAGGGGCAUAACUCCACCGAUUAGCAUAAUUACAUCCAUGCAUCUGGUUUCCAAAAGCAGAGUGUGAAUCGGUUUCAGCUCAGUAUUGGCACCUCCUGCCAGCCCUGCAGCAAGACAGCCGUGAGCAGACACCCCGGCUCCUGCUCCCCACGAUGAAGCUGGGAGCUCUGACAACCAGGGUGGAAGGAAACAAAAGGCGCUGAUUAAAACAAAAAGCCUAACUGGCAGGUUCUGUGAUCAGUACAAAAUAAGUCUUCUUUUUUUUUUUUUUUUUACUUAAUGCUAUUAAUUGCCUUUCAAAGACCUUACAAAAUGCACUGCCCUGAUAAUAUAAAGUAUCCCCUCCAGCAUCACUUCUCUGGCUCUUUCCUUGUUCUAAACCCACCUGCACUUAAAAUCCUGGAGAACCAUGUGUGCAGAUAUUGCUAAAUACAACUUCCUUACUACAGAAUGAUGUGUGUCACUGUCCUUUCCAUGGACACCAUACAACAAUCCCAGCAGGAGGAACCGGGGCCAACUUACAAAUCACCUGGGCAGAGUUCCAAUUACACUAUUGCUAAGAGGCAUGUCCAGCCCACAGUCACAACUUGGGAUUAAAAUGUCAGUAAGUACUUCAUGGAAGUUGUUAUCUAUGAAUUAUUUCAUAACUCUGUAGAGUAUUUAUGAAAAUACGCUGUAAAGAGUUAUCCAGACUUGAGAAUUAUUAUCUUAAUUGUGCUUAGACUGGAAAAAUAAUUACAAUGCACGGAGGUUACUGAUCUUUUCUGAAUGAGCUCAGUGGUAUUACAGUAAAAUAUUUUAAAAUGCUUUAAAGUGAAGAGAGAGCUGAAGUUAUUUAAGCAUAAAGUUCUGCCUAAAGGUAUUCUAGGCAAAGUGUCCAUCACAAAUGUAAUACAGAAAUAUAUGAAAACUAAACGGUGAAAAAAAAUUCGUAAUUGCUCAAUAUACUUCUUUUCCUGUACUAUCAAAACAUUGUGCAGGAUUUUGACAACACCAAAGCUAUUUUAUAUUGUUAAAAGACAGUAAAAUGUUUUUAAAUAUAGCAUUAAUAGGUUUAAUGUCUCCUAUAGAACCUGAUGUAACUCAUAUAAUCUGAAAAGACUGCAGAUUGGCCAAUGAAAUGAAAGCAAAUCCUUAAAUAUUCUACAUUUUGCAAAUUAUACACUAGAUAUAUUUUCUCUAUGAAAUAACUGUCCAGUGUACAUCCUGCUAGGUAGAGAAUUGCCAUCUAUGAUAUAUUUAUGUUGGCCAAGUAACUCUUAGCAUGAGUGAAUGUAGAGUAAUUAAUUUAUUGUUCAAAACACAGGUCUCGGUAUAAACACAGUGACUGGGUAUAAAUGUUGCUUUCAGGAUCAAUACUUAUAAUCUCUCAGUGAUUGUUGUUGGACUGAUGCUGUAUUUACAAAUGGAAAAAAAAUCUUUUUCACCCCUUUUAAUGGCCAGCCUCGCAAUCUCAGCUUAAGAUGUAGAAGUCAGCUUUGAGACCUUCCCUUUUGGCACAUAGCCCCAAGCAGCUUGGAUUCAGCAGAGCCUCAAGGUCCUCACCCGUUGUCUGGGUCCCAUCUCUCCUGCUGCCUGAUGGAGCGCUGGUGCAGAUGUGAAUGGUGGGAGCCCUCUUUUGCGGCAGCACAGACCGAUGCAUCUCUCUCACUGAGAAACAAAAAAGUGCAUCUGUCCUGGCCACUCACACCAGUCAGAGCCCACUGGUGGGACCACACCUGCCCAUCAUUCACAUGAGGCAAAACUCCUUCUGUGGGCAUGUCACCACAACUCUCAUCUCCAGUUAUCCCUUUUGAUAACAUCACAAUACUAUAGUCUACAUGAAAGAAAUAUUGUUUCGCUUAAAUAGUUUUUCAAGCUGAGGCACUGCCCUUUGUUGUAUGUUUAAUAGUUGAAGAGCAGAAGAGUCCAGAUCAACUUUGCCUAAAAUGGAAAAAGCUGCUUUCACAGUUGACCACAGUAAAAUACCCAGCCUGGUCUAUACUGGAAUAGCUUACUGAUGUAGGCUUUUCACUUGUACAUUAAAGUGUUGAAUUUAUUGUUACAUAAUACUAUACACCUUGCAGAAUGGUAGUGGGAUACUUUGGAGCAGCCCUUGUUCCUCUGGCUUCCCCUCCUCUGGCUCCUGAUGUGCUUGCUUUGAUCUGGAUCUGCCUCCUGCUCACCGUUAUGCUGCCUCCACCUGCAGAAGCCGUCGCUUCGGGGACUUGGACUUAUUUCCUGCAAUCGGUGCCACUCUUACCCCACCCUUGAUACAGUUCUGUCAGUAAUACAAUACAUUACAAUACCUCUUGUCUAGGCUUGAUUAGAAAUCUCAACGUACCUACUUUGAUUUGCUGUUUCAGUGAAAUUCCUCUGUUAUCUGCUAUACAAGAUGGGCAACUUCUUCAAAAAAAUGUUCUUAACAGUUAGCAGGGUUUUGGGGGUUUGUUUUUGUUUUGUUUUGUUUUUCCCAACAUUCCCUACUCUCAUAGACUUAAUCACUGCAACAAGAAAUUCUGCUGAAUGCAUAUUUCCACAUAGAAGGCAGACAACAUGACAGAAAAAUAUGUAACACCCUUGGUGAGCACUUAAGAAAAUAAAAUGCAAUGGCAGAAAUCCUUGUGCGUGCAUUGGUGGUUUCAUUUGAGUGUGAAUGGUAGGGUCACAGAACAGCUAGAUUACUGUGGAUGUAGUAAGGCUCUAGGUAAAACAACCUGACUUUCUUAAGGGCUCUUUUCAUUAUAAAUUAAUGUCCUUUGAGUUGGAUUCAGUUUGGUUGGAAUCCCGGGGACUCUGAUGGAUCUUGAUGAUUUUGUCAUAUGUGACCUCUCUCUACCCUUUCACACCAGAUGAUGCCAGACAGAUUUCAGUGCUUUUGAUGACACUCACUUCAUUUGCGCAACUGGCAUUUAUUACUGAACCAACACUGAAUCUGUUGGUUUCCACAAACCACAACUUAUUACUGUUGCUCCCUAGUGCUUAUAAUAAGCAAAAAAUUCCCUUACUGGAGGAAACUGUUCAUUCUCCAUCUUGUGUUGGACUAAUAAACUUAUCCUAAUGUAUUCAGCUUGUUAUUUACUAGCUUUUAAAUGUGUCUGCAGAGUAUUUGUUAGAUUUUUGAACUCUUACGGCACCCAAACAAUUGAAGCAUCUUCAGUACAAACUUCUGUCACUAUGUGCAUAUGAGCUGUGCCUCAAACGUCUCUCCACAUGCAAGUGUUUUUAUGAUUGUAUAAAAUGAGUGUUUGAACUUAAAGCAAAUUUUAGUAAAUGUUUUACUUACUCUUAUUGCAAAUACUCCAUUGAAAAUUUCCCCUCCAGUGCAAAUUAAUCUACUUAUUCAUGUCUUUUCUCACUCCUCCUCUCUCUCCAUUUAUGCCUCUUUAUUCUCUUUCAUUUUAUAUCUUACAUUUAGCAUUUUUGCAUUCCAACUCCAAA